GGGACGAGCAUAGUGUCAAACUCAUGGACAGAGCUCAUUGUCAAACAAGCAAACUCAUCAAAAGCAACGCGCCACCGGUUCUGCUUGUGUUUGGGGACACGCCGACAUCUGCUGAAUCCUCGAGCGCUAAUGCGGACGAGUUCUGGCUAUGAGGCUGAUGUUCAGUGCUAACAAUCAUGGAAUCUACUGCUGAAGCUAUAAUGGAGCGAUGGACUCUGGAGGAGAAUGAGGAAAUGAGCCCUCAACACUCCAUUUAACCACCAACUGUGAAUAUCACAGCGGAUCAUUU